UCCUACGGGGCGCAGCAGUGGGGGAUAUUGCACAAUGGGGGGAACCCUGAUGCAGCGACGCCGCGUGGGUGAAGAAGCGCCUCGGCGCGUAAAGCCCUGUCCGCAGGGAAGAAAAUGACGGUACCUGAAGAAGAAGCCCCGGCUAACUACGUGCCAGCAGCCGCGGUAAUACGUAGGGGGCAAGCGUUAUCCGGAUUUACUGGGUGGAAAGGGGGCGCAGGCGGCGAUGCAAGCCAGGAGUGGAAGCUCGGGGCCCAAC
rnacentral:rRNA from 1 species